GCCUAACCCCAUCAUCACCACCACCACCUCUCAGCCUUCCUGUGUGCGCGAUGUCUUCCAGAUUCCGGUAGAUGUUAGCACCGCAUUCAGGAGAAGCAGCAUCUCCAGCUCUGACUCCAAAGAAAGCCAAGGAACACGGGUCUUGCAGCAGGACAGGACUGCCAGAGGCACGCGGUCUAGACAAGAAGGGCCUAGAGAAAAGUCUCCUCUGGAAGCAGCGUCUUAAUGGAGUGUGACUACCCUGUGCGAUAUCCUCUGCGAUCAUCUCCUCUGCUACUCUCCUGAAGAGGAAAAUUCAAAAUAAAAAGCUGCAUAAACAUGAUAUUAUAGUAUACUACAGUUCCUUUAUAACUUUUGAUAAAUUUCUUCUUCCCCUUAGUUUAUUUUCUUGCUCCAAUAGUUUCAAAAUUCUUUUUAAAUUCCUCUAAUCAUGUGCUUCUCAAAAUGUGGUUCCCAGACUAGCAGCAUUGACAUCAUCAGAGGACUUGUUAGAAGCAUGACCUAUCAGCCACCCCAGAUUACACAAUCUGACACUUGGCGGGCUGCCUGGCCAGCGGUGAGGUUACAAGCCCUCCAGGGGAUUCUGAAGCACCUCAAGUUUUAACACCACUGCUCUAACCAUCCUCCCUUUUCUUAGCCAUGACCUUUUUAAGUAUAAUAUGUAUUAGUAGGGGCUACAAAUUUGCUGAGUCGCCUUCCUUUCCCUUACUCUAACCUUCCAGUCACCACUCUGCUUGGAUUCUUUCCUCAGCAAAUUUCUCUCAACAUUUUCUCUCCCAUCUUGGAAUGCCACUGCUCCUUCCUAGAUCAGCGACUGGAGUUUGCGGUCCUUUUCCAUCUAUCUGGCAAUUGUCAACACGCCCUA
rnacentral:lncRNA from 1 species